AAGUCGUAACAAGGUUUCCGUAGGUGAACCUGCGGAAGGAUCAUUAUUGAAUAGUAUUGGGCGCUGUGCUGGCCUCUCGGGGCAUGUGCACGCGUUCAACAUCUACUUCUAUCUAUCUCUUGUGAACCUAGUGUGGAUCUUGGACCCUGUCGGCAAAGGCCUUUGGAGCAGCAAUGCUUCUUUUGCUGGAGCCUUCGGGGAUCUUGAACCAUUUUUAUAAACCUUUAUUUGAAUCUAUUAGAAUGUCUUCUUUACUUGACGCAAGUCAGUAAAAAACCUAUACAACUUUCAGCAACGGAUCUCUUGGCUCUC
rnacentral:misc_RNA from 1 species